AUGAACGCUGGCGGCGUGCUUAACCCAUGCAAGUCGAACGGUGAAGGCGGAGCUUGCUCUGCUGGAUCAGUGGCGAACGGGUGAGUAACACGUGAGCAAUCUGCCCCUGACUCUGGGAUAAGCGCUGGAAACGGCGUCUAAUACUGGAUACGAGCUGCGAAGGCAUCUUCAGCAGCUGGAAAGAAUUUCGGUCAGGGAUGAGCUCGCGGCCUAUCAGCUUGUUGGUGAGGUAAUGGCUCACCAAGGCGUCGACGGGUAGCCGGCCUGAGAGGGUGACCGGCCACACUGGGACUGAGACACGGCCCAGACUCCUACGGGAGGCAGCAGUGGGGAAUAUUGCACAAUGGGCGAAAGCCUGAUGCAGCAACGCCGCGUGAGGGACGACGGCCUUCGGGUUGUAAACCUCUUUUAGCAGGGAAGAAGCGAAAGUGACGGUACCUGCAGAAAAAGCGCCGGCUAACUACGUG
rnacentral:rRNA from 1 species